UACAGGGGGUGCAAACGUUGCUCGGAAUUAUUGGGCGUAAAGCGCGCGUAGGCGGCUACUUAAGUCGGAUGUGAAAGCCCCUGGCUCAACUGGGGAAGUGCACCCGAAACUGAGUAGCUAGAGUGCAAAAGAGGGUCGCGGAAUUCCCGGUGUAGAGGUGAAAUUCGUAGAUAUCGGGAGGAACACCAGUGGCGAAGGCGGUUACCUGGAGCUUUGCUGACGCUGAUGCGCGAAAGCGUGGGGAGCGAGUCCGG
rnacentral:rRNA from 1 species